rnacentral:rRNA from 1 species
UACGGAGGAUCCAAGCGUUAUCCGGAAUCAUUGGGUUUAAAGGGUCCGUAGGCGGCCCUGUAAGUCAGUGGUGAAAUCUCACGGCUCAACCGUGAAAUUGCCAUUGAUACUGCAGGGCUUGAAUUAUCGGGAAGCAACUAGAAUAUGUAGUGUAGCGGUGAAAUGCUUAGAUAUUACAUGGAAUACCGAUUGCGAAGGCAGGUUGCUACCGGUGGAUUGACGCUGAUAGACGAAAGCGUGGGGAGCGAACAGG